UACGAAGGGGGCUAGCGUUGCUCGGAAUGACUGGGCGUAAAGGGCGCGUAGGCGGCACACACAGUCAGACGUGAAAUUCCUGGGCUUAACCUGGGGGCUGCGUUUGAUACAUGUGAGCUAGAGGAUGGAAGAGGCUCGUGGAAUUCCCAGUGUAGAGGUGAAAUUCGUAGAUAUUGGGAAGAACACCGGUGGCGAAGGCGGCGAGCUGGUCCAUUACUGACGCUGAGGCGCGAAAGCGUGGGGAGCAAAC
rnacentral:rRNA from 1 species